UACGGGGGGGGCGAGCGUUGUUCGGAAUUAUUGGGCGUAAAGAGCUUGUAGGCGGUUUGUCGCGUCUGCCGUGAAAAUCCGGGGCUCAACCCCGGACUUGCGGUGGGUACGGGCAGACUAGAGUGUGGUAGGGGAGACUGGAAUUCCUGGUGUAGCGGUGAAAUGCGCAGAUAUCAGGAGGAACACCGAUGGCGAAGGCAGGUCUCUGGGCCACUACUGACGCUGAGAAGCGAAAGCGUGGGGAGCGAACAGG
rnacentral:rRNA from 1 species